rnacentral:rRNA from 1 species
UACGUAGGGUGCAAGCGUUGUCCGGAAUUAUUGGGCGUAAAGAGCUCGUAGGCGGUUUGUCGCGUCGGCCGUGAAAUCUCCACGCUUAACGUGGAGCGUGCGGUCGAUACGGGCAGACUUGAGUUCGGUAGGGGAGACUGGAAUUCCUGGUGUAGCGGUGAAAUGCGCAGAUAUCAGGAGGAACACCGGUGGCGAAGGCGGGUCUCUGGGCCGAUACUGACGCUGAGGCACGAAAGCGUGGGGAGCAAACAGG